CCGAGUUUACAACUCCCAAACCCCUGUAACAUACUAUCGUUGCUUCGGCGGAUCCGCCCGGCGCCCUCGGGCCCGGAUCAGGCGCCCGCCGGAGACCCCAAACUCUUGUAUUUCUUUAGGUAUCUUCUGAGUAAACAAGCAAAUAAAUUA
rnacentral:misc_RNA from 1 species